UAUAACUUAGUGGCAGACGGGUGAGUAAUGUAUAGGAAUCUACCUAGUAGUACGGAAUAAUUGUUGGAAACGACAACUAAUACCGUAUACGCCCUACGGGGGAAAAAUUUAUUGCUAUUAGAUGAGCCUAUAUUAGAUUAGCUAGUUGGUGGGGUAAUAGCCUACCAAGGUAAUGAUCUAUAGCUGAUCUGAGAGGAUGAUCAGCCACACUGGAACUGAGAUACGGUCCAGACUCCUACGGGAGGCAGCAGUGGGGAAUAUUGGACAAUGGGCGAAAGCCUGAUCCAGCCAUGCCGCAUGAGUGAAGAAGGCCUUUGGGUUGUAAAGCUCUUUUAGUGAGGAAGAUAAUGACGGUACUCACAGAAGAAGUCCUGGCUAACUCCGUGCCAGCAGCCGCGGUAAUACGGAGAGGGCUAGCGUUAUUCGGAAUUAUUGGGCGUAAAGGGCGCGUAGGCUGGUUAAUAAGUUAAAAGUGAAAUCCCGAGGCUUAACCUUGGAAUUGCUUUUAAAACUAUUAAUCUAGAGAUUGAAAGAGGAUAGGGGAAUUCCUGAUGUAGAGGUAAAAUUCGUAAAUAUUAGGAGGAACACCAGUGGCGAAGGCGUCUAUCUGGUUCAAAUCUGACGCUGAAGCGCGAAGGCGUGGGGAGCAAACAGGAUUAGAUACCCUGGUAGUCCACGCUGUAAACGAUGAAUGUUAAAUAUGGGGAGUUUACUUUCUGUAUUACAGCUAACGCGUUAAACAUUCCGCCUGGGGACUACGGUCGCAAGAUUAAAACUCAAAGGAAUUGACGGGGACCCGCACAAGCGGUGGAGCAUGUGGUUAAUCGAUGCAACGC
rnacentral:rRNA from 1 species